UUAGUUUUCAGUAGUUGAAGGUGAAGUAUUGCAGUAUUGGUUCGUUGUUUGUUUAUCCUUUAUUUUAUCGCGUCAUCAAGUUGAUGAUGAUUUUUGAUUGCUGAAGGUCUUAAAUUAAGACGAAGGUGGGAAUAGAACUGCAGAUACAUAUUAUACUAAAAUCCACCAUGACAGAUGAAUAUGAUGCCAAGGAUUAGAUUUGAAAAAAGUUCUUCUCCUCUCUACAUUUGAUGAAAGCCAUUUUCAGCAAAGGUGGGAAUAGAACUGCAGACGCAUAUACCAAAAUCCACCAUGACAGACGAAUAUGCUGCCAACUACAGUUUUAGAUUUAAAACUCCUUUCUACAUCUGAUGGAAACCAUUUUCAGACCAAGAGCAGAGAGACUACGCCUCAUGAAGCUCAAAUCGAGGACGAUAGCAGUUCAAAGUAAAAAUAUAUAAUUAGUAAUAAAUUGAAAGUUCAAUUUUUGUAAUAUUUAAUAAAAAUCAUUGAAUUUUAUUGAAAA